rnacentral:lncRNA from 1 species
AGGACAUGAAAAGAAUAGCUCCUUCCUGACUUACUCUCUCUUGGAUCAAUUACUCUGAUGGAAACCAGCUGCCAUGUCAGGAGUACACUCAGCUGGCCUAAUGGGAGGCCCACACACAGAGGCACUGAGGUCGCCAAUCAAUAACCAACACCAAUACAGCGCAGGUGAGUGGGUGCUUUUGGAAUUGGAUCCUCCAGCACUCAUGAAGCCUUCAAAUGACCUUUAGCACAUUGAAUAUGUCAUACUACCCUCUCCUGGACUGCAGAGUUUUUGCUGACAAAUCUGCUGACAGCCAUGUUGGAACUCUCUUGAUUGUGGUAUGUCU